AUGAUUAAAACCUUAGAGAAGAAUAUACAGCAAGCAGUGAAGUGAAUGAUUUUAUAUACCAGUAUAAUGGCAGUAUUUAUAUCUUAAGGCCAGUGGUGGAAUCAGUUAUAUAACCCAACAUUGCAAUAGUUCAGUUGUGCAAUGGUAAAUAUGAGGGUUGCCAGCUCAUAAGCUCUUGUUUCACUCAUAUGAAACAAUUGUAGAAAAAUACAAGAUUUUGUUGUGGAAAGUUAACCUUAGUGCAAGGAAGAAAAGGUCGUGACAAGAAUCUCACUAUAGUUGCUGCAAAUGCAGGACAUGCAAAUUUGUGUGCAGCAUUUUAACAGAAAAAUAAAUUUUAUAUAGUUAUCUUUAGGUAGUUGUUAAUCUUUCUUUUGAACAUUUAGUUAAACAUGUAAAUUGUAAUUACAAUGUAACAUUAUAUAUAAUAAAAAAAGGAC
rnacentral:lncRNA from 1 species